UGAAAUGCGAAACGUAAUGCGAUUUGCACGAAUCUGUGAGUCAUCAAGUCUUUGAACGCACCUUGCACCAUAUGAGCAAUUGUAUGGUAUACCUGUUUGAGAAUCGUAAACCUCCUCACCUCUUUCUGGUGGAUGUGUCGGCUUAUAUCUAAUAUAUCCGAUUAAAUACAUUAGGUUUGGAUCAGGCUGGUGGCCUGGGACACUGUGUGCUAGAGACUAAGCAGUCUUAACCGACUGGUCUGUCUUCUCACGGUGCGUCUCGGGUCAUUUAAAGCUGGCCUGCAAAGGACCUUAACUGCGCAUAGCAUCACGCUAUGGCAACCUUUCUCUUUGAUCUCAAAUCAGGUAAGGCUACCCGCUGAACUUAA
rnacentral:misc_RNA from 1 species